AGGCACGUAGCUCAGCGGGAGAGCACUACCCUGACACGGUAGGGGUCGUUGGUUCAAACCCAAUCGUGCCUA
rnacentral:tRNA from 1 species